UACAGAGGUCCCAAGCGUUGUUCGGAUUCAUUGGGUUUAAAGGGUGCGUAGGCGGUUCCAUAAGUCAGUGGUGAAAUACGGCAGCUCAACUGUCGAGGUGCCAUUGAUACUGCGGAACUUGAGUACUGAUGAGGUAGGCGGAAUUGACGGUGUAGCGGUGAAAUGCUUAGAUAUCGUCAAGAACACCGAUAGCGAAGGCAGCUUACCAAGCAGUAACUGACGCUGAGGCACGAAAGUGCGGGGAUCAAACAGG
rnacentral:rRNA from 1 species